ensembl:lncRNA
CCAUAGCCAUUUCUAACUACAAUUGAUGCUGGAAAAUGAGGAGGUGUUGUUUUGGUUUGAUUUUAGCUAGGCACAAUCGUUCUGUUUGUAGAGAGGAAGGGGAGAGUGAUGAUUGAGAAGGCAGCUAGCACUGUCUGCCACAGAUUAAUGCAGAGUGCAUCUUCCAACUCAAGAAGUGAGCUGCUUGACUGGGUUGCUAAAGAGAGAAAUUCUCCUUACCUGACCACCUUACUGGAUAGGCUGAUUGGGGAUAAGAGAGGAGAGAGUCAAGUUGAGGACCAUGAGGCGCCACUGUGGGGAGAUGAAUACCAGCCAUCAGCAGCCUCCGCCUCUGCCAGCAAGUCAAGGGGUGAGCGAGCAGCCACUGAGAAUCACAGGUGCAGAGUCACCAGGCAGGUGAGGAAGACGUGUUCCAGGGGCCCCUGUUGACAAUGAAGGACAGCCAAGUUACAAGGAGUCACCUGUUAUGCCAAGACAAUUUAUACAUAAAUCAGCCUCCACCAGGGGUGAAUAUUAGGUGGAAAAUGUGCCAGGCUAUGGAGUUUGCUCAUUGCCGUGCCAGGUAUGAAUCUGUGGCUUGAAAGAAAAAUCAAAGCAGGCAGAGGAAUGUCGGAGCAAGAACAAGGAUGCUCAGAGGGGGGCUGGGGCUUCCCAUGCCUUUUGAAGGCUCUUUCUAAUGUUCUCUUUGAGGUGUUAAAUUCUACAGCUCCUGUCCUUCUUUCAGAAGCCAGUGGCUUAGUCUCAGUACACUCAGGUGUUUUCUCUGCUCCAUGAUGAUUUAGUGGUUGCACUUUCCAGACCCCUUUCCGCUCAAUGCCCACAUUCUUUCUACACUGGACGCUAAAUUUGAUCCCAGACUGUCAUUUGUGAUGGCAUGAGGGGUCAUUGCAGCUCUGGAGACACUGAAUCAAUACCAGAGAGGUGAGUUACUGGUUUCAUGUGAUCCUUUGAGGCCAGCCUGGGACAAGACAUUUUUCUAAGCUUUAGCAACCAUGAAAGUUUCCAUGGAUUUUCUAGGACAAGGGGUCUUGAGAAGAAGCAUCGGGAAUUAGAAUCUAAUAUACAAGAGGAUCACGAAAUGCAGUAAGAGCACUGGGGCUGCAGGCUGUGGAAUCCUGAGACAAGAGAAGAGGAAACCAAGGAGGGCCGGUCAGAAAGUUGAUCUGAGACUUUACAGAGUUCCUGAGGAAUAAAGUCGAAGGAGCCCAGACCUUUCUGGACCUUUGGACGCUCCGGCAGCUAUGCAGAUAGAAGGUGUGUUCUCCUCCCCGGGCCCCUUGGCUGACAGCCAUGAUGAUAGCCGAUUCCCUUCCUUCUGAGCAACAGGGCGUCCAGUUCUCACUGCAGACUCCACCCUGCUUCAUCUACAUCUUGCUGUCCUCCAGUUCCUGCACCUCUAUGGAGCCCUUUUCAGCGUUCCCAGGUUGUCAGACGCCUCUCUGAGGGCCCUGCCCCUGGUACCGUGCCUCUAUUAGAACCUGGCUCACCGUGUCUGGCGAGGCUUUGCUCUGCUCCUCAGUGGGGCACUAGAUGGUGGAACCCUGGCGAACCAGAACUGUGCCACAGUCUUCUCUCUGUCCGUCCUCACACCUCAUAUGGAGCGUGGCAUAAACUAGGCACCAUUUGUUUGUUAAAUAAAAACAAAAUUCUUUCUCCUCAUUUCCCAUGAAAGUUGCAAUCUAAACCAGCAUAAUUAAG